GACGAACGCUGGCGGCGUGCCUAAUACAUGCAAGUCGAACGCAGUGGGGACGGGUGAGUAACACGUGGGUAACCUCCCAUCAGAGGGGAUAACACUUGGAAACAGGUGCUAAACCGAUACUGCUGGAUGAACCCAUAUGGGAUUAGCUAGUAGGUGGGGUAAAGGCUCACCUUGGCGACGAUCUCUAGCUGGUCUGAGAGGAGGAUCAGCCACACUGGGACUGAGACACGGCCCAGACUCCUACGGGAGGCAGCAGUAGGGAAUCUUCGGCAAUGGACGAAAGUCUGACCGAGCAACGCCGCGUGAGUGAAGAAGGUUUUCGGAUCGUAAAACUCUGUUGUUAGAGAAGCGGUAUCUAACCAGAAAGCCACGGCUAACUACGUGCCAGCAGCCGCGGUAAUUC
rnacentral:rRNA from 1 species